rnacentral:rRNA from 1 species
GGCCGCGGUAUCCUAACCGUGCAAAGGUAGCGUAAUCACUUGCCCUUUAAAUAAGGUCUAGUAUGAACGGCACCACGAAGGUUAAACUGUCUCCUUUUUCUAAUCAGUGAAACUAAUCUCCCCGUGAAAAAGCAGGGAUGAACCCAUAAGACGAGAAGACCCUAUGGAGCUUUAAAUAUUAACAACAUUUGUCACUCAAUCUUAUAAACAGCAUACAUGUUUGUUAAUUUUUGGUUGGGGCGACCACGGAGUAAAACUCAACCUCCCUGUUGAAACUUGCUAAGAACCACAAUUUAAGCACCAACAAACUGACAUCCAUUGACCCAAUAUUUUGAUCAACGAACCAAGUUACCCUAGGGAUAACAGCGCUAUCCACUUCAAGAGCUCUUAUCGACAAGUGGRCUUACGACCUCGAU